rnacentral:rRNA from 1 species
AGUGUCCGUACCUGAGUAAGAAGCCCUGAAUAAGUACCAGCCAGCAGCGUAGGUAAUAUGUAGCGGGCAAGAUUUAUCUGGAUUUGGUGGGAGUAAAGGGAGGGUAGCAGGCAAGGCAAGUAUGAUGUGACAACGCAUGGCUUAACCGAGGGAUUGCAUUGGAAUCAGUCUGGAUUGCGUGCGGGAGAGGUAAGAUUAAUUCUUAGUGUAGCGGAGAAAUGGGUAGAUAUUAGGAAGAACACCCCGGGGUGAAGGCGGGCUUUCUGGGCGGUAACUGCGUCUGAGGCUUGAAAGCGUCGGGAGCCCAUAGGUUUAGCUACGCCCUGGUAGUCCACCCCGUAAGCGAUGAAGAACUAGGUGUUGGGGGAAUAACUCAGUUCGGCAGUUAACGCAGUAAGUUCUCCGCCUGGGGAGUAUGCACGCAAGUGUGAAACUCAAAGGAAUUGACGGGGGCCCGCACAAGCGGUGGAGUAUGUGCUUGUAUAUUCGACGCAUCGUGAAGAACCUGACCAGGCCUUGACAUCCCUUGCACAGUACUAGAGAUAGUAUAGAGGUUAUCAAGGAGACAGGUGGUGCAUGGUUGUUGUCAGCUCGUGUCGUGAGAUGUUGGGUUAAGUCCCGCAUCGAGUGCAACCCUUGUCUUCAGUUUCCAUCAUUAAGUUGGGGUCUUUGGAGAGACGGCCGGUGAUAUCCCGGAGGAAGGUGGGGAUGACGUCAAAUCAUCAUGCCCCUUAUGGCUUGGGCUCCACACGUACUACACUGGCAGAUACAACGAGUCGCAACAAUCCGCGAGUUGAAGGCAAAUCUCUUAAACGUCGUGUCUCAGUUCGGAUGGAAGUCUCCAACUCGACUUCAUGAAGUCUGGAAUCGAUAGUAAUCGCGGAUCAGCAUGCGCGCGGUGAACACGUUCUCGGCCCUAGUACACACCGCCCGUCA